ACGGGGGAGUAACACGUGGGUAACCUGCCCAAGAGACUGGGAUAACACCUGGAAACAGAUGCUAAUACCGGAUAACAACACUAGACGCAUGUCUAGAGUUUAAAAGAUGGUUCUGCUAUCACUCUUGGAUGGACCUGCGGUGCAUUAGCUAGUUGGUAAGGUAACGGCUUACCAAGGCAAUGAUGCAUAGCCGAGUUGAGAGACUGAUCGGCCACAUUGGGACCGAGACACGGCCCAAACUCCUACGGGAGGCAGCAGUAGGGAAUCUUCCACAAUGGACGCAAGUCUGAUGGAGCAACGCCGCGUGAGUGAAGAAGGGUUUCGGCUCGUAAAGCUCUGUUGGUAGUGAAGAAAGAUAGAGGUAGUAACUGGCCUUUAUUUGACGGUAAUUACCUAGAAAGUCACGGCUAACUACGUGCCAGCAGCCGCGGUAAUACGUAGGUGGCAAGCGUUGUCCGGAUUUAUUGGGCGUAAAGCGAGUGCAGGCGGUUCAAUAAGUCUGAUGUGAAAGCCUUCGGCUCAACCGGAGAAUUGCAUCAGAAACUGUUGAACUUGAGUGCAGAAGAGGAGAGUGGAACUCCAUGUGUAGCGGUGGAAUGCGUAGAUAUAUGGAAGAACACCAGUGGCGAAGGCGGCUCUCUGGUCUGCAACUGACGCUGAGGCUCGAAAGCAUGGGUAGCGAACAGGAUUAGAUACCCUGGUAGUCCAUGCCGUAAACGAUGAGUGCUAAGUGUUGGGAGGUUUCCGCCUCUCAGUGCUGCAGCUAACG
rnacentral:rRNA from 1 species